AGAACGACUCUCGGCAACGGAUAUCUCGGCUCUCGCAUCGAUGAAGAACGUAGCAAAAUGCGAUACUUGGUGUGAAUUGCAGAAUCCCGUGAACCAUCGAGUUUUUGAACGCAAGUUGCGCCCGAAGCCAUUAGGUUGAGGGCACGCCUGCCUGGGCGUCUCGC
rnacentral:rRNA from 1 species